rnacentral:misc_RNA from 1 species
CGCCCGCCAGUAUUCUGGCGGGCAUGCCUGUUCGAGCGUCAUUUCAACCCUCAAGCCCAGCUUGGUGUUGGGAGCUGCAGUCCUGCUGCACUCCCCAAAUACAUUGGCGGUCACGUCGAGCUUCCAUAGCGUAGUAAUUUACACAUCGUUACUGGUAAUCGUCGCGGCCACGCCGUUAAACCCCAACUUCUGAAUGU